UGGGGAAUCUUGGACAAUGGGCGCAAGCCUGAUCCAGCCAUGCCGCGUGAGUGAAGAAGGCCUUAGGGUUGUAAAACUCUUUCGCCGGAGAAGAUAAUGACGGUAUCCGGAGAAGAAGCCCCGGCUAACUUCGCGCCAGCAGCCGCGGUAAUACGUAGGGACCAAGCGUUGUUCGGAUUUACUGGGCGUAAAGGGCGCGUAGGCGGCAUGACAAGUCACUUGUGAAAUCUCUGGGCUUAACCCAGAACGGCCAAGUGAUACUGUCGCGCUAGAGUGCAGAAGGGGCAAUCGGAAUUCUUGGUGUAGCGGUGAAAUGCGUAGAUAUCAAGAGGAACACCUGAGGUGAAGACGGGUUGCUGGGCUGACACUGACGCUGAGGCGCGAAAGCCAGGGGAGCAAACGGGAUUAGAUACCCCCGUAGUCCCUGAGCGGGCUGGCAAGGCGCAU
rnacentral:rRNA from 1 species